rnacentral:rRNA from 1 species
GUGGGCGCUAGUUGUCCGAACCUUCCACGGUUUGUGCGACGCAGCUAACGCAUUAAGCGCCCCGCCUGGGGAGUACGAUCGCAAGAUUAAAACUCAAAGGAAUUGACGGGGCCCCGCACAAGCAGCGGAGCAUGCGGCUUAAUUCGACGCAACGCGAAGAACCUUACCAAGGCUUGACAUAUACAGGAAUAUGGCAGAGAUGUCAUAGCCGCAAGGUCUGUAUACAGGUGGUGCAUGGUUGUCGUCAGCUCGUGUCGUGAGAUGUUGGGUUAAGUCCCGCAACGAGCGCAACCCUCGUUCUGUGUUGCCAGCAUUUAGUUGGGGACUCACAGGAGACUGCCGGGGUUAACUCGGAGGAAGGUGGGGAUGACGUCAAAUCAUCAUGCCCCUUAUGUCUUGGGCUGCACGCAUGCUACAAUGGCUGGUACAAACGGCUGCGAUACCGCAAGGUGGAGCGAAUCCGAUAAAGCCAGUCUCAGUUCGGAUUGGGGUCUGCAACUCGACCCCAUGAAGUCGGAGUUGCUAGUAAUCGUAGAUCAGCAACGCUACGGUGAAUACGUUCCCGGGGCUUGUACACACCGCCCGUCACAUCACGAAAGUCGGUAACACCCAAAGUCAGU